UACAGAGGGUGCGAGCGUUAAUCGGAGUUACUGGGCGUAAAGGGCGCGUAGGCGGUUAUAUAAGUGAGAUGUGAAAUCCCUGGGCUUAACCUAGGAACUGCAUCUCAUACUGUAUGACUGGAGUAUUGUAGAGGGUAGUGGAAUUUCCGGUGUAGCGGUGAAAUGGCGUAGAGAUCGGAAGGAACACCAGUGGCGAAGGCGGCUACCUGGACAAAUACUGGACG
rnacentral:rRNA from 1 species